UAUAACUACGAAACACUCAUGUGUGUUUUUAUAAGUUUACAACAAUCAGAAUAUACGAAGAAUUUCCAUAACGCAUCUGUCGUAUGGGUGUGAAUCUGCGUCCCAAAAGCGCUCGUCAGACGAUGUAAACACGUGUAGCUGGUAUUCCCGAUGAUGGCGAUCUUUUGAUGAUUUAUCAGCUGGUACCUGCUUUGUCUUGAGAUUUACAUAAAUGAUGUUCUUAUUGGUGAUCAUUUACCCGCACCCUUAUCCUGGUGUCAUAUACAAGAUGAAAUGAUGGAAAGAAAAACCUGAACUUUAGAAACAGGAAGACUGUGCUUUUGAAGAGAGAAGAGGACCAGAACUAAGAAGUCUUACAAUAAACACAUUGACAUCAUAAAAAGAAAUUGCAAUUUUGAGUUUGCAUGCAUAUGUCAGGUUUAAAUGUUGUCACAUAAUUUUUUUUUCAGAAAGUCCCUUUAUCUUCUUGAAUUAAUAAAACAAAUGAACCAAAUAUAA